rnacentral:rRNA from 1 species
UACGAAGGGGGCUAGCGUUGUUCGGAAUCACUGGGCGUAAAGCGCACGUAGGCGGAUCGUUAAGUCGGGGGUGAAAUCCUGAGGCUCAACCUCAGAACUGCCUCCGAUACUGGCGAUCUCGAGUCCGGAAGAGGUUGGUGGAACAGCUAGUGUAGAGGUGAAAUUCGUAGAUAUUAGCUAGAACACCAGUGGCGAAGGCGGCCAACUGGUCCGGCACUGACGCUGAGGUGCGAAAGCGUGGGGAGCAAACAGG